GGUGGCUGUGGGUAGCAUGCAGUGCAUUGGAAGUGCUUUAAGAUUCAACAUGAAAAGAAGAGCUAUACUGUGUCAUACUGAUGUCCCAUAACUCUGGCAUCUAACUAGUCAUCUGGGAGUUCUCCAUUCCCCCUAACAGUGAGAGACUGACAUAAUACCUGGAAUGCAGCUCUGCCCUGUCUGUCCUUUCCUCUCCUCGUCCCUCCACAACCUCAGAAAAGGGAGACGAAAAACAAACAAAGUUGAGGAUGGGCAGAAAUAUGGAGUGGCUUCCAGACAAUGAGGGAUUCAACAAGUCAGAAUUCAUCUGAGGCAAGAUGACUGUGAGAAGGUGUGAUGGAAACCAAUAAACUAAUGAAUGCUGU
rnacentral:lncRNA from 1 species